rnacentral:rRNA from 1 species
GUGCCAGCCGCCGCGGUAAUACGGAGGGGGCUAGCGUUGUUCGGAAUUACUGGGCGUAAAGCGCACGUAGGCGGCUUAUCAAGUCAGGGGUGAAAUCCCGGAGCUUAACUCCGGAACUGCCUUUGAGACUGAUAGGCUUGAGUUCGGGAGAGGUAAGUGGAAUUCCUAGUGUAGAGGUGAAAUUCGUAGAUAUUAGGUGGAACACCAGUGGCGAAGGCGACUUACUGGACCGAUACUGACGCUGAGGUGCGAAAGCGUGGGUAGCAAACAGGAUUAGAUACCCUGGUAGUCCACGCUGUAAACGAUAAGUGCUAGAUGUUGGGGGCCUUAGGCUUCCGGUGUCGCAGCUAACGCGUUAAGCACUCCGCCUGGGGAGUACGGUCGCAAGAUUAAAACUCAAAGGAAUUGGCGGGG